UAUGCAAAGACUGGAGAAUUGACAAGCUGAAAUGCAAAACCAACAAAUUGAAAUGCAAGACCUUCUUAAGGCUUUGAAAGUUGAAUUGCAGUCUAGGAAGUAGGGCAAUGAGAGUAUAUCUGGCAAUGAUAAAUGGCUUUGUAUCAAGAAACUUUAGCAAUGAAUGCCUCUCCAAACAAUUUUACCUUAAAGAAAGGAAAUGGAGACUCUGCACAGGAACAAAAGCAUAGCUUCUUUUGAGCACUAAUGCAGAACUUCCCUCCUUUGGAGAUGGAACCAGCUGAAGAUUGAUGGGGACUUCGUGGUUAUGACUGAAAGCUCUCAUUUCAUUGAAAAGUUUGGAAGCUACUGUUAGUUCUU